GCUGUCGCUGUUAUUGAGGAAGAGAGGCAGCUGAAGUUGACAGUCGAGUGUGACAGUAGAAACACUCACAGUCUUGCUUUCUACGCUCCUGUAACUUUAAGGCAAGGGUUUGACCCGUGCUGAAGACCCACUAGAAGGUUUGGAAUGGUGUGACUUAUCAUCAAUGCCUGCAGGUACGCCCUGAAGAAGAUCCGGGCUGCCGUCCGCAGUGAGGAGCAGCCAAAGGCCUCCAGCAGUGCAGAACGUAGCAAGGUCAAAGGGAGGAAGGGGGGCGAUGAGGACGGCGGAGAUGGGCGUGGCUUCAUGUCGGUCCCAUCCUUAGAGGUGGCGGAGCAGGACGAGAUGACGCAGUGCGGCUCCUGAGGUUAAAGGUUGGGGAGGCCAAUCCAUGAGAAGACACACACACACACACACACAGAUACAUACACCCACACGGACACACUGACACGCGCACGCACACACAAACACAUACACCGACACACACAACGACACACACACACACUUAAACAACGGCCUAUUUCUACCACUUUCACCUACACUAGAAACUCUUCACAGAAGGAUGAGAAUUAACAAAAUGCACGCUGACGACACCACCACCCAUCCACCUCUACCUGAUCAGCCUUUGUCCCUCUGGGAUCAGCGGGAUUCACUUCCUGAACAGUUCCCCCACAAUACUCGCUCUCUUCCUCUUGAGGCUCUCACACACACACAUACUGGGAUUUCAUUAGGGUUUCAAACUGAGGCUGUUAACACAAAAGCCUCUUUGUUCGUCAGACAUUUGAGAUAUAUAUUAAGGUCUGCACACACAGACACACACACACACACACACACACACACACACACACACACACACACACACACACACACACACAAACCCAAUCAAAGGAACACACUGAUACAAACAUUAAGUCUUCCACUUUAAGUCAUCGGCCUCUUCGGAGACGGACUGCUCUCCCCCACCGCCACCAGCUCCUCCCCCACCACCAGAAGCUCCUCCCCCAACACCCAGAGCUCCUCCUCCAUCGGAAGCUCCGCCCCCCCCCACCAUCCACCUCAAGCCGCCAGUGACAGAAUUCAUGAAAGCCCGAUCGCAAAGUCCGCACUGCGGGGCCCGGUCGGGCUGGAUGGCCUGAAGGCGUCUGCCGCUGGCUCAGAGCCGCAGUCUGGAGGUUCACCUCGUCUGCUUCAGUCUUACUGUGUUGUCUCAUUGUAUCCACGAGGAGGACAAUGUUCCCCAAGUGGUGUACAAAUCUGGAAGAUGAUCAUUAAUGAAUGGAUAUUCAGACAUCUAUACGUAUUAAAUGAAAUUAAUGAAUUAAUGGGAAAAACUUUGAUUCAUGUUUUUCUGUCAUUAUUUACGAACAUAUACACUUCUGUACUUGAUGCAUCAAUUUGAAAGAUUCAAUGAUAAACAAUGAACAUUGUCGUUUUUAUAUUUUCUGUAUUAUUAAGACAUCUGAGAAAUGAUCUCAUGUGAGCCUAAGCUCCUUGAACAAGCCAAUUAUGGUACUGUCACGAUCCUACUGUUGGGUAAGGUUAAGCUGGUUGGUAACUGGUGGUCAUGGUAACGGUGGGAGUGGCUCCCUUAAUUAGUUGAUUGGGGUCACCUGGGGGAUCCAAGAUGGUGGAUAUAUACAGCAUGGUGGCCAGUGGUUACAGGCCCCGGCAGGAUAAGACUUUGUAAAGCCAUUCACCCAGAAGCCAGCACACACCAGAGCUAAGGAGUCCAACGGGGGAACGUGACCGCCCCUUCACCAUCUUUGUUUGUCAAGUGUUUGUCUAAACAUGUAAACCAUAACUGAACGAGACAGCUACCGUUCACCACAACGCUUGGGCUAUCUCCAUAGCAAGAGAGAGAAGGACCAGCGCUCACCAGGAACCCAGGUGAGUCACUACACAUGUGCCCCGGAAGCUAGUUGCCUACCAGCUGUGGUUAUACUACGUAUGUGUCUCGACUCCUGCCUAGACAGAGAGCCGGUUUUCCCUAGAUACCAGUGGGGUCGUGACAUAAUAAUGUCACGAUCCUACUGUCGGGUAAGGUUAAGCUGGUUGGUAACUGGUGGUCAUGGUAACGGUGGGAGUGGCUCCCUUGAUUGGUUGAUUGGGGUCACCUGGGGGAUCCAAGAUGGUGGAUAUAUACAGCAUGGUGGCCAGUGGUUACAGGCCCAGCAGGAUAAGACUCUGUAAAGCUAUUCACCCAUAUGCCAGGACACACCAGAACUAAGGAUUACAACGGGGGAACGUGACCGCCCCUUCACCAUCUUUGUUUGCCAAGUGUUUGUCUAAACAUGUAAACCAUAACUGAACGAGACAGCUACCGUUCACCUCAACGCUUGGGCUAUCCCCAUAACAAGAGAGAGAAGGACCAGCGCUCACCAGGAACCCAGAUAACAAGAACAAUUUCCGUCUCAUCCUCCACAUCAUCACACCGCCUGUCUUCCGAGAGAAGAGAAGAUAAGACAUAGAGCCCAAUCUCUUCACAGAAGGGCGAGCAUUAACAAAAUGUUCUUCUGCUGCAGCUUCUGGGAACUCAGAAUUGAGACUUUGCACCUAAGUCUGUGUGUGUGUGUGUGUGUGUGUGUGUGUGUGUGUGUGUGUGUGUGUGUGUGUGUGUGUGUGUGUGUGUGUGUGUGUGUGUUUGUGUGUUCAUUUGCGUGGGAAAAAAAAAUAAAACUCCUUUCACAAUUUAGCAUGUGUUAUGAAAUUGCAGCCUGCACAACCAAACAACUUCAAGUCUAGAAUCAAACCGGAUUACUUGGAGAUGACUUGCCCUAAAGGGUAACCCUAACCCUAAUCCAUGUUCUAAAUCUAAACUGAAGCCUCAUUCUAAACUAAAGCCACAUCCUUAACUAAAAGCACGUUCUAAGUUCAAGCCACGUCCUAAAGACACUUUCGAAACUAAAGCAACAUGCUAAAAUAAAGCCUUUUUCUAAAGCCACAUUCGACAGUUAAAGCCUCAUUCUAAACUAAAGCCUCAUUCUAAAUUAAAGCCAUGUUCUAAAGCCACUAAAGCAUUCUAAAGCAUCAUUUAAAACUAAAGCAACGUUCUAAAAUCACAUCCUAUACUUAAGCCUGAUCUGAUCUAAAGCCCCAUUGUAGCACAUUCUAAUUUCACAUUCUUUAGUAGAGACAUGUUCUCAUAUAAAGUCACAUUGUAAUUUAUUCUAAAAUCGAAGUUCUAAUCUGAAGCCACAUUCUGGACACAGUCUAAACUAAGCUACGCUCUAAAGAAUGCCACGUUCUGGCAUAUUCUAAACUCAUAUUCUAAAGCCACGUUCUGAAAUAAAGCUGCAUUGUACACUAAAGCAUGUUCUAAUCUUAAGCCACAUUGUAAACUAGAGCAUCUUCUACACUUAAGCUGCAUUCUAAACUAAAACCAGGUUCUAACUUAAGCCACAUUCUAAACUAAAGCCAGGUUCUGAAAUGCGUUCUGACAACAUUUCCAGCGAUAAGUGUGCAUUUAAUUAGAUAUUGUCAAACUGCGACUUCUGCCACCUUCUGAACCCUUGCCUGUCUGACUACCAGCCUACUGCUAAACCCGCGUCUGUCUGACUACCAGCCUGUUGCUGACACUCGCCUGUCUGACUACCAGCCUGUUGCUGACACUCGCCUGUCUGACUACCCGAAUGCCUUUGAGCUCGUCUGCCUGGUCCCUGCUUUACUAAUUUCUUUCCCUCAGUAAUCACCUUUAUUAUUUACUCCUCUCUGUAUCCUUGUCUCUGUGUUGAGCCUUUGAAUCCACUCUCUCUAUAUUCCAUGGCAGUAAUCUAGGUCAAUUACUGCUAUUACCGUCAAAGGGUUACAUGGCACGGCCACGACCGCUUAUUUAUAACAUCCUGAGGAACUUCAAUCGAUAGAUUACCAUCUGGUUAUCAAAGGCUUUUCGUUUAUUGGGGGACUGCUGCCCUAAAGAACGCAGUGUAUAAGAAUGUAUAAGAACUCCUGACUUUAGCCACUCAGUGGACUUCUCCUUGCGAACCUUUAGAGAGAAGUGAGACACAGGGCGAACUCCCAUCUGAGGCCUCAGAUUAUUGUAGUGUAUGCCUGUUAUGUUGUUUGUUGAUGCAUGUUGUGAUGUAUCUUUGUUCGUCCUUUUAUUACAAAUGACCACCAAUUGCCUACAAGUAUUGUGUGCUUUUUGCAUCUAAAUAUCUCAUCUGUCUUAGACGCAAACUCUGAUAGAGAAAUUUCCACGAUACGAGUUGGUUGAAGCAAUUUGUUUGAGUUGUGUUAUCAUCCAAGCUGUUAGGUUCAGAGCUAUUCUAUAUUGCUGAUGUUUCAAAUAAAACAUUUAAAGUGACCCAGGGAUGACAUUCAUUCUCCUUAAAGGGGAACUAUGCAACUUUUUUUAAAUGUACCUCAAUAUAACAGGUUAAGGGCCCUAUCUUGCAUCCGGCGCAAGUGACUUAGUCACUGGCGCAUGUGUGGUUGCUAGUUUACAACUGGCGCAGAGCGUUCUUUUCCCACCACCGCCACUCGCCGGUAAAUUAGGGAUUGAUCAUGCGCACCAAGGGGCGGUUCGGCGGAAGGAGGAGGUGUGUUCUGGCGCAAACGGUAUUUUGCCGUUUCUGAAUACCAUUGCGCUACUGACCAGGGAAUAGCUGGUUUAAAGUCAGUGGCGCGUUGUUCAGAUGCUAUUUUAAGGGCGCAUUCAUACAUGCGCAUGCGAUGCAUACGGAUUGCUUGUGCACCUCGCGCAUACACUUUGCUUCUCCCAUCUACCUAGCCGCACAUUCUUGGUAAAUUAUUUGGGAAAGAACAGCUGAUGCAGCGGUAAUAAGUUGUACUUUUAAAUCAAUGCAUCUGCAAACACCGUACAGCAAACACAUAUUUUCUUGACACACAUCGUGUAGGCCUACAUGCCCAUAACUUUUAGGAUUGAAUUUGAUCGUGAGUAUUUGAUCGUGAAAAACAUUGUUUUACCGCGAGUGAGUGAAUGAAAUGAGGGCGCGCGUGUGUGCUCUGUUUAAACACACGCAAACUAAACGCGUAACGCAUAAUACAUCAAUGGCAAUGUCUAUUACCGCGGGGACACAUGCAUAUUAGGAUAGCAUACAAUACUGAUAAGAAACAAUGUUUAUAAUGUAUUGCGUAUAUCAUUAAAUAGAACCACAGUUACCGCAUAUCAUAUGUUAAUAUCAUAUACGUUUUCUUUGCCGAAAUUUAUUUGAGGACUCAGUAUUUCUGAAGUUGUGGAAGAAAACCCCUUAUUCCAUGUGUGAAUUAGGCCAUAUUAUUUGGCAAAACUGAGCCAUUUACAGUUUGAAAUCCAUGUGCAUCUGUCUCAUCGGAGACUGCAGACGCGCUGUCAAAAUAUCCACUCGUCCGAUUCAAAUGCGCUCAUGGCUCUUAAAGGGGAUGGGAGCUGGCACUCUCAUUGGCUUGUUACGCCCAAACCACAACUACGGGUAACUAGGCUGCUUCAGACCAACCCUUUUGACACUUGCGCCGCGACGCAAGUGUCAUUUAUCCGCCUGUAAAAUAGCGAUAGCGCCGUAGAACCGCCCACAAAGCUGGUUGCGCUUUGCGCUUCCCACUUGUGUUUCAGACCGUUAAAAUAGGGCCCUAUGAGUCAUUGUGCUGGUUCUAUAACACUUUAUUUGUCGAUUGGUCACUGUUUCGACUCCCCCUAGCGCAUCUUGGCAGCAAAGGGGAAUAUGCAAGGUUCUGCCGGCGACCUGCCGCCCACUCUCGCUAGCGGUGUAACGAUACAUCGAUCUACAUCGAUAUAUCGAUACAUUGUCGAUCGAUCAUUGUCGUUGCUAUCCCUGAUAGCUACCUUACACACACACAAUUAAAUGGAAAGAAUUUUAACAAUAGGAAAAGGAAAGAUUUAUGAACUAUAAUAGACAAAAAAUAUUAGCUUACUUUCUGGUCCCAUAGCUCUGAAGCCUCAUAUAUGAUGCUCUGGAAGGCCGCUUCUUUCUCCUCCUCACUUAGAAAGGGCAGAGUCUUGAAUCUUGCAUCCAAAGCAGAUGCUAUGUGGAGGACCUGCUGCACAUCCUGGUAGCGCUAUGAUAGCUCCCUGGACAAAGUUGCCUUCAUCUCUCCUAGUAAAGCAGAGUCUUCUUCUGUGAUACGGUAAUGCACCAGCAACUUUGCUCUGAGUGGAGCAAUGACCGACAAAGUGGGUUGUUUCUCUACACACAUUAUUGUGGUGGCGGUUCUGACUGGUCCGAGGAGCUUUACCAUGUCUUCUGCAGCAGUGAUGUCACUUUCACUGAGUGUGUGUGAAUGUCAUUCACACCUUUCCUUAUUUACCUGUCCAGGAGUGAAGCACAAACAGCAGCCUGCUGCUCCAAAAAUCGCUCAAGCAUAUCAAAUGAGCUAUUCCAGCGUGUGCUCACGUCUUGUAUAAGCUUGUGUAUGGGGAUUCCAAGCAACUUUUGCUUCUCUUUUAAAACUGCCGUUGCUACCGUGCUCCGGUGAAAAAACGUGACGAUUCGUCUCACUCUGCCCAAAAGACGAGUUGCACCCGCACAUUUCAGGCCUCUCUGUGUGGCCAAAUUAAUUGUAUGCCCGAAGCACUUGAUGUGAGGUGUCAUUUUCGCCUCUGCUCCGGCUACCGUCAUAUUGCUGGCGUUAUCUGUGACAAGCGCGGGAUUUUUGUCGGGAAUAUUCCACUCUUCACAUGCCUCUCUCAAAACUGACGCAAGAUUUGCACCCGUGCGUGAGUCGUUCAAAACACGAGUCUGAAGAACAAAAUUCUUCAUCUGCCAGUCAGCAUCAAUAUGGUGGCUGGUCACGGUUACGUACGCUUCUGUUGUACAGGACGUCCAGCCAUCUGUAGUCAGAGCGACUCGUUUUGCUUCCAUCAACUCACGUUUAACGUUGUGUGGAGGUGGGGCGGCGUCUGGCCUGCAGGGGAGUAUGGAGCACCGGGUCUGCUGGGGUGAUGGGGUCUGAUUGCGGACAGGUGUCUGCAAUCUGACCCAAUCAGGAAGUGUGUAUUUAUGUGCCUGCUUGUCUUUCUGUGAGGGAGAAUGAGAGAGAGAAGGAAGACGCUCUCCGUGAGCCAGAGAGAGCGUCGUAAGACCACGAGAUGGACGGAAUGAACAUUCAACGUCGUCCUUUUUGUUCUUGUGGCAUUGUUUGUUUGCCCGAAGUGGAAAUAAACAGGAGUUCGCUCCAAUUCGCUAAAGAACUGUGUCCUGACUCCGGUGAACAUGUUACACGUUGUCUUUAGCUUCGGCAAAGUGCAGUAACUACGUAUUUUGUCAAAAUUGAGUUCAGACUGAAAAUGGGUUUUAUAAAACCUUCUUUGUCUUGAGACAAAAACUCUUGGUCCAACUGUGUCCCGUUUCAGAGAUAUCCCUAGGUCAAAUUUGCAGUAACUACAAAAUCCAACCUAAUACCAAGGCUAAACGCAGUAAGUGAAGUUACUGCGUUCUGCCUUUGUUCACCCGGCUUUGACACAGUAGAUACUGCGGUCUGCCUUAGUAGCCCAAUCCGAAUCUACUGAGGAAAACUCAUGGUGGAACUUGCUUUGAAACGCAAGUAUCCAGACAAUGGUAAGGACGAUGGAAAAAUAUCAACAACUGACCUAAAUCUAUUAAACCAUUUUAGCCAACCUGCUCCCUUGAAGCCUGUAGCAUCUUUCCACUCUGGAACCGCUGUUAUAGUCAAAUUACGAUCACGUCGCUGUUUUGUUUCUUGUCUUCAUUUCUGAAACUAUUUUCGUUUCGGGGAAGCUAAUCCAACUGAUGUGAAGAUAACAAAAUCAGCCUACUCAUUUAGUUAGUCGACUCCAUUUAAGUCACUGUUACUUUAGCAUUCUAGAGUUAGCUGAUUUCCUGAGGAGAGCCGUGCAGCGCCUGCAGCCGCAAAUACGAUAUUGAAUGAAAAUGAAAUGUCCAUUUAGAUUGGUUGUUUACUUCUCAUUCCACACGCUACAUCACAUGGUUAAGGUAAAAUAUCGCAUUGUCUAAAGGAUAGCCAAUGAAGUUCAAGCACAAAGUCCAAAGGUUGCAAAACCACCAUCGAGAUCAGUUGACGUCUUCGGUUCAUUUCUUCUAUUGUAUAAAAUAGCAGUCACUCAUUUUGACGUUAGAUCUAGUUUGGGAUAUAAUCUGCAAGUAUUUUUUUAUUAUAUCUACCUUAUCUGUAGUUCUUAUGGUUAUUAUAUUUCAAACUAAUGUAACUGAGUGACCUCUAUGAAUUGUUGAUCGUCUUUUGCCACUUCUUGCCAAAACAUUAAUAUCCAAUCUUGUAUAAUACUUACUUUAAUGCACACAUGUAUGCAUCCAAGAGUUCCAGUGAAUCACUUAUCUAAGCUUCCCACUGGCUGCCACCAUGCAGUAGCCCCCCCCCCCUUCAUUUUCUAAUUAAAAUGAAAAUCCACAAACCAAAAUACUAUUGAUUGUGUGUAAAAUGUUAAGGAUAUUUGGGAAGAUAAUGGCAAUGUUGAUGACAAAAAAACGCAAUUGAAGGGUUUGAUUUCAAAAUGCUAUCUACUAUUUAUAUUGUGUAUCUCCAGUGAUAUCAACAAAAUAGUAUUUUUGUUGUUUUGUUAAAGUUAAGAUACAUCACAGAACACUAUCCCAACUGCAGGUUCACUGAUAUAACCUAAAACCUUUUUAUAUAAAAAAAUGAUUCAUGAAAAUUCAUUAAAAUUGUGGAUAUAGCGUGUUGGAACCAAACUCUUCAAUUGUUUAGGGCUGCGAUGUGACGGGGACAUAAGGACAAAAUGGAGUAUUGAAGGUUACAAGCAAUUUUAAUACUCUCAAAAACCUUCAUAAACGAUGCACAAGCGAAUUCAAUUAAAUAAAAAGGCAUAGGUAAUGCAAAAAAGUUACUUUCAGAACACAUUUAAAUUGUAGAUAAGGCACUUUGCCUUUGUAAUAGUACUCUAGUUCGAGGUAAUACAAAGUCAGAGUGCAGUAUCUACAAUUUUGAGGUCAAAGGUCAUAUUGUUGGUCUUUUCUUUUUCUAUACAAUUUUCCAUCCUGUAAAGGUAUUCAUUGAAAGUAUCACCACUAUUGUACCUGCAACAGGUUUGGCCGGCCAGUAUGAAAACUUUGAAGGCAUUUUUCUCAGUUUCAAUGUUGACGUAGUAACUGCACUUUGCCUUUGUAGGGCAGUAUAGCUUCGGUAUGCAAGUUUCACUGAAAAACUGUCGGGAUGGGAUUGUAUAUUUUGGCUCCAGAGUAUGAAGUAGCUCACGAAAGCCGGCGUUCUCGACAACACGGUACGGCCUCAUGUCUUUGCAAAUGAAAUUUGAAAUGGCGGCUGUGAUACUCAUCGCUCUUUUGGAGUUGUGGUUCAGUUUUUGUGGGAAAAAACUGCUCAGGGCUGGUGUUGUUGACAAUGCCGAGCUGCCAUCGGACACAUCGACGACGUUGCCGCGUGCUUCAUAGGGGUCAAUGCCGUGUUUCUUUUUAAGGUGCCCGGACAGGUUAGUUGUAUUUCCCAAAUAUUUAAUGGCGGACCCGUCUUUUUUCAGAAUUCCUAAAUAUUUCCACACCGCUGACUUGUAUCCGAGAGGGGAUACAAUAGCCUGGACAUCAUCUUGGCUGUUAGUAGGAUUAGCAGUGCUGCUGCUGCUAGAAGCCAUACUAGACACCCUCCCAAUCAACCAUGUGCUCUUUGCGCUCAUGAUUGCCUCGUUUAACAGGUGGACGCAGUAACGCACAUGAGCGUCUUGGCGCGCUUGGCCGGAAAUAGUGCCACAAACACCCGCGCAAGGAGAUUGUC
ensembl:lncRNA